rnacentral:rRNA from 1 species
UACAGAGGGUGCAAGCGUUGUUCGGAAUUACUGGGCGUAAAGGGUGCGUAGGCGGCUUUCUAAGUUGGAUGUGAAAACUCUGGGCUCAACCCAGAGCCUGCAUCCAAAACUGGAGAGCUAGGGUUCUGGAGGGGAAAGCGGAAUUCCUGGUGUAGCGGUGAAAUGCGUAGAUAUCAGGAGGAACACCGGUGGCGAAGGCGGCUUUCUGGACAGAUACCGACGCUGAGGCACGAAAGCUAGGGGAGCAAACAGG